ACAACUGACUUAAACCUGGGUCGCGAUGGUUGACUGGACACCGCACCUCAUAAUUCAUGUCUCAUACCUCACACUUUUAAACACGUGUAGAACUUUUUACAGCAACCUAGUCUUCAUUAGUUAUGUUAUUUUCGGAUAUUCUUUAGAUCCAAUGUUUACAAUUUCUAAGAAAGGUGUUAACACCCGAAUUAAAUAUAACUGACACCAAAUCAAAGCGGAAAUAAUAGACUAAGUACAGUAUUUGGGAACUAAUAUUCUUUAACUUUUUUGUAAAACAUAUUCCCCAAGCGUAGGUUUUUAGUUUAAUUGUUUUUUGUGUUUAUUAUAACUACCCAGUAAGGAAUUAAUAAUGACAUUGUAUCUUGUCUAUGUCAUUUAUUAUGUUAUUCAUACCACGGUUACUGAUAUCCCACGACAUUUUUAGAAUAGAAAUUCAUUAACCAAAACGAUUCAAUUCUGUGCUUUGUCGAAAUUAGCCGCGUUGAGCGAGGGAGAAGAGUUUUUGAAGACGAGAAAAGAUAAAAAUGAAACUAACAGUGGUUGGGAAGAAAAUUGCAGUAGCCGAUGAAUGACAAAAGAAAAUUCAGAAGAAAGAAAAGAAAAUACGUCAGACUGAACCAUGUUUGGUUUCAGAUGGAAAGAGCAAUGUUAAGAGCCCAGUGGAGUUAGAAUCGAGGAUAGUGGGUCGCUGUAUGUGAUUUUUUACUUUUUAACAUAUUUUUAUUAUAUUGCGUACCGUGUGCAAUUAACCUGUACGACAAACUGCAAUAUAUAAAAACUGCAAUAUAUAUAAAAGUUCUAUGCUCUUACACUUUAAUUUGCGAACGUUUCGCGUAUGUAUAUUUUAUACAUUUUUCCCGCGUAUUUAUUUUCCCGCACCAAGCCUUUUGGACAGAUUUAAGUAUUGCGCGCUCCUUGCAGGUUUUAUAGUUACGCUUAUUCUAAUUUUCACGAGGCUCCUGAAAAAUAAUAUACCGCGCACAUUAAUUAUAAUUUACGAAAGUAUUCGGCUUUUCUCACAUAUUGUUGCA